rnacentral:rRNA from 1 species
UGGGGAAUAUUGGACAAUGGGCGAAAGCCUGAUCCAGCGACGCCGCGUGGGUGAAGAAGGCCUGCGGGUUGUAAAGCCCUUUCGGUAGGGACGAAAGCCUCCGACCUAACACGUCGGGGGGUUGACUUAACCUACAGAAGAAGCACCGGCUAACUCUGUGCCAGCAGCCGCGGUAAUACAGAGGGUGCGAGCGUUAAUCGGAAUUACUGGGCGUAAAGCGCACGUAGGCGGCUUGGUAUGUCGGGUGUGAAAUCCCCGGGCUCAACCUGGGAACUGCAUCCGAAACUGCCUUGCUCGAGUAUGGGAGAGGGAAGCGGAAUUUCCGGUGUAGCGGUGAAAUGCGUAGAUAUCGGAAGGAACAUCAGUGGCGAAGGCGGCUUCCUGGACCAAUACUGACGCUCAGGUGCGAAAGCGUGGGGAGCAAACAGGUAUUAGAUACCCUGGUAGUCCACGCCCUAAACGAUGAGUAACUGGAUGUCGGGA